UGGCGGAAUAGCGAAGUGGCUAAACGCAGCGGUCUGUAAAACCGCCCCGAAAGGUUCGUUGGUUCGAAUCCAACUUCCGCCAU
rnacentral:tRNA from 1 species